rnacentral:rRNA from 1 species
UACGUAGGGUGCGAGCGUUAAUCGGAAUUACUGGGCGUAAAGAGCGCGCAGGCGGUCGUAUAAGUCGCGUGUGAAAGCCCCCGGCUCAACUGGGGAGGGUCACGCGAUACUGUUCGACUUGAAGGCAGGAGAGGGAAGCGGAAUUCCCGGUGUAGUGGUGAAAUGCGUAGAUAUCGGGAGGAACACCAGUGGCGAAGGCGGCUUCCUGGCCUGUUCUUGACGCUGAGGCGCGAAAGCUAGGGUAGCAAACGGG